UUCCAUUGGUCUAUAUAUCUGUUUUGGUACCCGUACCGUGCUGUUUUGGUUACUGUAGCACGUGUAUCCCAGGACUUAAAGUUAUAAAAAAAAAAAAAGAAGAGUUGCUCCAAGGAGGAGGCGGUUUCCAGGCAGGACCAAGAGGCCAAGUCUGCAGCCUGGGUCAGCUGGCACCUCCCAGCCUGUCCCUAACCAGGCAUUCAGAAGACUGGAGCUUCUCCCAUCCUACUUUCCACCCCCGACCCCUAGUCUGCUCGAAUGAGUGAGUGACAUUUCCCCCAACUCCCCCCUCCCGUGCUCCACAAAAACACAACAGAUUUAAUUUUCUACACAUGUGAAGAAAAUGUACUUUUCCAAACAGCCCCAGGGAUCUGCAAAGAGGGAGAAAGCGAAUCAUCUUUCGUAUUUUCUUCUAUGAGGGAGCACAGCAGUAGGGAUGGGAGAGAAGACAUUGGCAGGGCUGAGAGCAGCCCUCAAGGCAGCCUCCUGGACACCAGUGCUGGGGGGCUGCACUGCUGGCAUUCGGGAAUGAGGGGUGAGGGGGUCACAGGGAGCCUGUACUUUCUAUUCCCAGAGCCUGGCAUCUGGAGGGUGCAUGCAGGUCCCCACUGCCACCAGGCAGUCCCACAGUGGGGGUCUGCCAGGGUCAAGUCCCCUGGUGAGCCGGUGCUAUAGGGAGGCCACCAAAAUGGGACUGCUUGGGGACAAGCCCCUCCUCCUUCCUCCGGGCCCCAAACAGCAGGCGGGAGGUGAGGGUGGAGGGGAGAGUGGCCCAGGGAAGACAGAGCUGUGAUUCUCAGGAAAAAGGUGUAGGUGUGGGGAUCUGGCAACCCAACAUCCCAAGCCUAAAGAAUCAAAAUGAGACAAUUCCACUGCGUGACACCCUCCUUGUGACAGACGCCUAAUUAAAACUGGACGGAAACAGGCAAGAAAACCACUUAAUCUAGACUCUAUUUGCCUUGCUAAUUUAGGUGCCUGUGAAUGUGUGUGCGUAUGUGUUUUCCUGUUGGGUGAGUGUUUAUGAAAUCUUAAUUAGGUUGUGCGUAUUGGAACAGAGAUGGAAAUACGUCUUUUUUUUUUUUUUCUUUUCCUGUAAUGGUCUCUUCCCCAGGGGACAUUAAAGCUCCAUACCCAAUAUUCUCUGAGUAGGGAAAGUAGUAAUGGCCUUUGACGAUGGGUUUCAGGGAGGAGGGAGAAGAGGCUCUCUGAUUCAAUCACAGAUGGAUGGCUGAUAGCUUACAUUAAAAAAAAAAUCAAAACCUCAAAUUGGACUCAAAGAAGCUAUUUAUAACCUGUCAGGAGAAGCUCGUAUUUGAAUAUCAAACUCAUUGAAUACAUUUUUUUUAACAACCUCUAAUGUGGGAGUUCAGCAGGGACAGAAGGGACUCACUGUGCUGAGUGCAUAGUAGGCGUUCAAGUGUUCCUUGAAGUGAACGGAAGGGAGCCCGUGAGGAAGGAGUCAGGGAAAUCCCACAAUAUCCUCUUCUCUCCCUUCUCUGUCUCUGUCGCCCGGCCUGAGUCCCACUCCCGGAACUGAGGUCCGAUGCCACUCUUCUCGGUGCAUUUGAGGAGAGCGUGCUUAGGGAAGGCUGAAAGGGACAAGAUUGCAGGAGAGAGGACGAGGGAGCAGGAGGCUUGGCUUAGAUGACAAUCUUGGGGCAAUUCAGACUGUUACUCCUCAGGGGUGGCCCUUAUAAAGCAAGCCAAGCUCCCUGGGCAGUUGCAAUGGGUCCAGUUCAGCACUGGCCCAUGUUCAGGGAUGGUGCUAGAAUGUGGUCAGCUGGGAUGCAAUCACCUCAGAGACACAUCUUCAACUUGAUCGUAUGCGGAUAAGGGGCUGUGCCAUUUGUUUCUUGGAUGACCUUUCUGGAAUCUCUCUGUAGGCUCCCAGCACCUGCAGCUUGUGAUCAAGGCUGAGAUCUCCUGGAACAGAGUGGGGGAUGGGGACAUGGCCCUCGUGAUGGGGGGUGAUGAAGCCUGCCAGCCCUUCCCUUUUCAGGCAGUCCGUCGACUCAUUUCCUGAAGAGGGCAGCACUUCUCACAUUUUCCCCAGCAUGCACACCCCCCGCA
rnacentral:lncRNA from 1 species